rnacentral:misc_RNA from 1 species
CCAAACUUGGUCAUUUAGAGGAAGUAAAAGUCGUAACAAGGUUUCCGUAGGUGAACCUGCGGAAGGAUCAUUAACCAUCGCAAUCCUAUCCACUUUGUGUGCAACUGUAAAAAAGCUCAUCUUUGGAAGGGUUAUUUUACAACCUUUCCAAAGGUUAUCAUAAUUAACGAUUUUUUCUUUUCUAUUAUUACCAGAAACAGCUUAAAUAAAACAACUUUCAACAACGGAUCUCUUGGCUCUCGCAUCGAUGAAGAACGCAGC